CAUCUAGUAGCUGGUUCCCUCCGA
rnacentral:ncRNA from 3 species